UCGCACGUAUAACCUAAAUCCGUCUUAGCCUACGCUGUUUGUUUCUUAUUGAUUUUAAGGACAUUUUGAUAACAUAUUGUUAAAUUAAAAAAUCGCCAGUCGUCCUUGAGCCCCGUUUGAUUUCGGAUGGGACAUAUCUUCUUUCAUGUGGAUGCUCCGCGAUUUUUAUUUAAAAAAAGCCUUACGGUCGGACGAAAGGACACGGACGAGUGAUAAUACACCGAGGAUAAAUGCCGCCGUCGGAUGGUCCGCUAAAUCUCAGCACGAUCGCCGGCGAAACCGGAACCGGAAACAUGGAAAACAGCGGCUUUUUGGAACUUAUUGAACACCAGCAGCUGUUGUUGUACAUCGUGUGUGGUCUUGGUGGACUCAUGGUUCUGUUGUUGGCGGUGUGUAUAGUGUGCUCAUGUAAAGAAAAGUCCCGUCGGCAGCAGCAAGAACAACUCCGUCGGCAGCAGCGGCGGGCGCGCGAAACGACGGUCGGAAGAGGACGCACCGGCGAUGAGUUAUCGGUCGCCGCCGAGCCCGUCAGACGACGGUCAAGGGACAUGAGAAAUUCCGGCGCUCAUGGUAAUACGACCAUGAUGACGGCAAUCGGACAACCGGGUCGCGGGAUGCUGACCAUUGCUUCUUAGGUUGUCGUCUUUGAAAUCGUCGACGUCGCCUUCGAAAUCGUCUUCGUAUUUCAUGUUGUUUUCGUUGAGCUGGUCGUUUGGGGGUGUUUUAAAUGAGUAACACCGUUUUUUAGUGACGUCAUAACGGCUUUCCAGUGUAAUCAUCAAUGUGACUUGUUUCUUCGAGAGUUGGAAGUGUUCACCCGCUGAAAGACGAAAAGAAAAACUAACUAAAAUAUGUAUAGUGCAAAAUAUACGUUUCUUAUUUAUGAAAAUGUAAAUAUAUAAACUUGAUAUAUACUUGUAAAUAUAUAUAUAGAUAUAACAAUGAUAGUUAACAGACUAUGUUGUACGCACUAUUUGAUGGCAAUUCUUAAUUGUUAUUUUAUUCAAUAUCAUAUCUUCCUGAAAUAGAUAGAGGAUAUGUGUGCAUGCGCCACGAGUGAAAAUAUCAUUUUUCUAUGAUCACGAGUGAAAUAACAAACGAUCUUACACUGACAUGAACAAAUUGUCUGUUUCUUUUAUGCCCCCUUUUCAAGAAAAUAAUGAACACCUGUUUCCCUUUCGCUGAAAUGUUACCCUUUCUCCCGUGACGUGCCACAAUACAUUUCAAUACACAAAAAUGACGUCAUUAUACCAGCGAAAUUCUCCGGUUUAACUCUUUUACAAUGUAAAUAAACGGCGAAAAAGCAUACAAUAAAAAGAAAAUUAGUUCGAUUCGAUGGAAUAUCGUUUUUAAUUCACUCGUGUUCAUAAAAAAUAUAUAUAUCUUGAAGUAAAUCUUGAUAUGAUAAUCUUAAAUUACAAAAGGUUGUUCUGAAAAUUUGUUUUUUUCACCGGUGAAAAUAUUUUUUUAUCAUUAGUUAUAAAAGAAACAAUUAUAUUUAUAAUAUAGUAGAGUCUAUGAUAUGCACAUAUAAUGAUGCCGAGGUUUCAAAAUCGUCUGUUUGUGAUUCAUGUUAAAGCACAACCGCAAAACUAUUAUAAUUAAUAUAUGUUGUUCUUUCUAAGUUUAUUGAGUAAUUUUUAAGAAUAUUGUAUCGGUAAUAUUUCGAAUAAUUUUACUAACGAAUUUAACCAUGUGGAAGUUAAGAAGACGACGUGUUUGUACAUACAUAAACAACAACAUUUCUUACAUUAUUUCGAUUAUCACAACACUAUUUUGCAGUUAUACCACUGCAAACUGUUUCCUCUGUUUGCGAUUCAUGUUUUAACACCACAGAGAAUAUAUUUUCAUAUAUUGUGUUCUUUCAAUUGUUGAGUAAUGUGUAAGAAUAUUAUAUCGGUAAUAUUU